GCUGCAUAGAGAAAAAACAGCCUCAGAGCACGGCUCCAUCACAAGCUAUGUGAAAGGCAACAGGAAAGAAAGCACAAUGCUUUGGUGGAUCUUGAGAGAUGUAAAAGGAGUGAUGGAGCCAAAGUCAAGGAUUGGAAAACUUCUCAGAUGUCUUUGUGUAA
rnacentral:lncRNA from 1 species